rnacentral:rRNA from 1 species
UGGGGAAUAGUGCGCAAUGGGGGAAACCCUGACGCAGCGACGCCGCGUGUGGGAUGAAGGUCUUCGGAUUGUAAACCACUGUCGCGAGGGACGAAGCUCUGACGGUACCUCGAAAGGAAGCACCGGCUAACUCUGUGCCAGCAGCCGCGGUAAUACAGAGGGUGCGAGCGUUGUCCGGAAUCACUGGGCGUAAAGGGCGCGUAGGCGGCCCGGUAAGUAGGGGGUGAAAUCUCAUGGCUCAACUGUGAGGCUGCCUUCUAGACUGCCAGGCUUGAGCACAGUAGAGGCGAGUGGAAUUCCCGGUGUAGCGGUGGAAUGCGUAGAGAUCGGGAAGAACAUCGGUGGCGAAGGCGGCUCGCUGGGCUGUUGCUGACGCUGAGGUGCGAAAGCGUGGGGAGCAAACAGGAUUAGAUACCCUAGUAGUCCCUGAGCGGGCUGGCAAGGCGCAU